rnacentral:rRNA from 1 species
UACGUAGGGGGCGAGCGUUGUCCGGAAUCAUUGGGCGUAAAGCGCGUGUAGGCGGUCCGGCAAGUCCGCUGUGAAAGUCGGGGGCUCAACCCUCGGAUGCCGGUGGAUACUGUCGGGCUUGAGUACGGAAGAGGCGAGUGGAAUUCCUGGUGUAGCGGUGAAAUGCGCAGAUAUCAGGAGGAACACCAAUUGCGAAGGCAGCUCGCUGGGACGUUACUGACGCUGAGACGCGAAAGCGUGGGGAGCAAACAGG